rnacentral:rRNA from 1 species
GAUGAACGCUAGCAGCAGGCUUAAUACAUGCAAGUCGAGGGGCAGCAUGAUUGUAGCAAUACAAUUGAUGGCGACCGGCAAACGGGUGCGGAACACGUACACAACCUCCCAAUAAGUGGGGAAUAGCCCAGAGAAAUUUGGAUUAAUACCCCGUAACAUAACGAUGUGGCAUCACAUUGUUAUUAUAGAUUUUUCGCUUAUUGAUGGGUGUGCGGCUGAUUAGAUAGUUGGCGGGGUAACGGCCCACCAAGUCUACGAUCAGUAGCUGAUGUGAGAGCAGGAACACCCACACGUGCACUAAGACACGGCCCCGACUCCUACAGGAGGCAGCAGUAAGGAAUAUUGGACAAUGGACGCAAGUCUGAUCAAGCAAUGGCGCGUGAAGGAUUAACGUCCUCUGGAUUGUAAACUUCUUUUAUAAGGAACGAAAAAAGGCUUUUCUAAGUCGUCUGACAGUACCUUAUGAAUAAGCACCGGCUAACUCCGUGCCAGCCGCCGCCGUAACAC